rnacentral:rRNA from 1 species
UACGUAGGGUGCGAGCGUUAAUCGGAAUUACUGGGCGUAAAGCGUGCGCAGGCGGUGAGCUGUGUCCGAUGUGAAAGCCCCGGGCUUAACCUGGGAAUGGCAUUGGAAACUGGCUCGCUGGAGUGUGGCAGAGGGGGGUGGAAUUCCGGCGUGAGCAGUGAAAUGCGUAGAUAUGCGGAGGAACACCGAUGGCGAAGGCAAUCCCCUGGGCCUGCACUGACGCUCAUGCACGAAAGCGUGGGGAGCAAACAGG